CCCACUGAACCCGUGACAACCAGUCCCCAGACGCAAACGCAGGGACACGAGGAAGAGAGCCUUGGAGCCGACCCCUCCUUCAAUUCGCUUACCACUGAGUCCGUCGGCACGAGCCCCGACGCGCAGUGGGACGGCGGCGCCGCCGCCACCCAGGCGGACGAUGAGGCGGAGAGUGGGGCGCCCGGCUCCCCUUCCCCGCCCCGACCGCCGCCGAGCAUCUCCUCGCGCCGCGAUCCUCUCAGCGCCGGGUGCUUCCGGAGGCUGGCCGCCUCCUGCGAAGCCCGCCGACUCCGCGAGGCGGCGCUCCUCCGUGCGUCUAAACCGCCCGCGGAGAAGGCCGAGGACCCCGACGAGCCAAUCUGGCCACCAAGAAGCCGCCAUUGGAGGCGCUUCGUGGAACUAAAAACUAUGGGGUCCAGGCCGGCUAAUCCUGUGCCCAACCCUGAUGAGAGUUCAUUAUCUCAUAUCAAGAGCCAAGAUAUGUUAGCUGACAAGGUUGUGGACCAAUGGGAUGACAGUGACACUGAAAACUCCUCUGGAAAUGCAUCAUAUCAAAUUGUUCCUUACAAGAAUGUCCAGGGAGAAAACAACUUACCUGUGCUGUCUAAAAAAAGAAAAUUCAUUAUCAGUACAUAUUCUGUGCAAUGUAGUACUUGCCAGAAAUGGAGAGUUGUACCAUCCAAACUGAAAUAUGAGCAAAUCCGAGAGAAUAUUAUACAAGUUCCUUUUUCUUGCAAAUAUGUCCAUGGGUGGAAGCCACAAGUUACAUGCCAUGAUCCAACUGAUAUAUCUGAGGAUAAUGGCAUGGCAUGGGAAAUUGCUAUCCCAUGCAUCCCUCAGACCCCUCUUGGGUACUAUAUCUCUCCCGCAGGCAUAAAAAUAAGAUCCAAGAAAGAGGUCGAAAGGUAUCUUGAAGACAACCCAGACUAUGCUGCCGAUUUACAUUUAUCUCAGUUUUCGUUCAAGGUACCUAAACCUCCAAAUUGCCCUCGUCAGUCAGAGCUUAUUGAACCAACUGAAGUGCCACCUCCGGUUCACGAGGAUCCCGUGCACAACUACAUGCCGGUCCCUCAUGGAGAAGCCAAUCCUGUAACUCACAUACCAGUGACACUAGCUCUACAAGUAUCAGUGAUGCUCUCCAAAAAGAGAAAACUAAACCAGUGAUGCUCUCCAGAAAGAAAGGAAAAUGAAAAUGCUCUAUAAGUGAUGUUCAAACGUCAGACUUGAAAUGUGUUAUUUUGCUGUAUCAUCUUACUGUAUGUGUCCUACCUUAGCUAAGGUCGCUCCCUUUAUGCCGUAGUUUGCUCCAGCUUGGCUGGAACUGAGAAAGUUAUUGGGACAUCGACAUCAACAGAUGAACGUUGUUGCAGAAAGUUAUUGAAACUGCCACAUUGCUUUUACC
rnacentral:rRNA from 1 species